UACAGAGGUGGCAAGCGUUGUUCGGAAUUACUGGGCGUAAAGCGCACGUAGGCGGCUUUGUAAGUUAGAGGUGAAAGCCCGGGGCUCAACUCCGGAAUUGCCUUUAAGACUGCAUCGCUAGAAUUGUGGAGAGGUAAGUGGAAUUCCGAGUGUAGAGGUGAAAUUCGUAGAUAUUCGGAAGAACACCAGUGGCGAAGGCGACUUACUGGACACAUAUUGACGCCGAGGUGCGAAAGCGUGGGGAGCAAACAGG
rnacentral:rRNA from 1 species